rnacentral:antisense_RNA from 1 species
UUCAAUGGUGAUGCUAGCGGAGCUACCGAAAGGUAGGCUGGUUUCCGUGUGUGCCAGUAUUCUCACCUCUGUUAGCGUCACCACCCUU